rnacentral:rRNA from 1 species
AACGAACGCUGGCGGCAUGCCUAACACAUGCAAGUCGAACGAGAUCUUCGGGUCUAGUGGCGCACGGGUGCGUAACGCGUGGGAAUCUGCCCUUUGGUUCGGAAUAACAGUUGGAAACGACUGCUAAUACCGGAUGAUGACGAAAGUCCAAAGAUUUAUCGCCAGAGGAUGAGCCCGCGUAGGAUUAGCUAGUUGGUGUGGUAAAGGCGCACCAAGGCGACGAUCCUUAGCUGGUCUGAGAGGAUGAUCAGCCACACUGGGACUGAGACACGGCCCAGACUCCUACGGGAGGCAGCAGUGGGGAAUAUUGGACAAUGGGCGAAAGCCUGAUCCAGCAAUGCCGCGUGAGUGAUGAAGGCCUUAGGGUUGUAAAGCUCUUUUACCCGGGAUGAUAAUGACAGUACCGGGAGAAUAAGCUCCGGCUAACUACAUGCCAGCAGCCGCCGUAA